AUCCUUUUUGGUUCAUAAGCAUGAUGAUUAGGUAUCCAUGCCUUUGGAAAACAUGUGACUCACACAAACCUGGGUAUGACAUUGCAACAUUACCCAUCUGACA